rnacentral:lncRNA from 1 species
GGGAGGUCGCUGUCCCCCUGUCCUCAGCUCUGGUGAGGCUGUGCCUCGGGUGCUGUGUUCAGUGCUGGGCUCCUCACUACAAGAAAGGCGUUGAGGCCCCGGAGUGUGUCCAGAGAAGGGCAGUAAAGCUGUGAGGGGUCUGGAGCACAAAUCUCAUGGGGAAAAGCUGAAGGAGCUGCGAUGGUUCAGUCUGCGGGAGACUCUGGGGAGACCUUAUUGUGCUCUACAGCUGCCUGAAAGAAGCUUGUGGCCAGCUGGGGGUAUUUGCCACUGCUGUCUGUCAGGUGGAACACAAGGAUUUUCAGCUCCUCUAAAACAGCUCCUCCUUGGCUAUUUCCAAGUAGAGAGUGAAGGCGUCUGCCAGUCUCCCACACGAGGCCGCGUUGCAGUUUCUGUGUCAGGAAGGUUUCUAUGUUCAUCUGCCAGUUCCAGCCCUUUCGAUAGGCGUGGAGGAGCUCUUGCUGCGCCGUGUGUGAAGGCGUGGCUACACCGAAGCAGGAGAGCAGGGUGAAGGGAAGGGGUGGCUGCGUCACCUGAACCCGGCCACCAGAGGAUCCAGCCCACGGGGCGCUCGCUCGCAGCUCACCUAGCGGGUCAUCGGCUGCAGCACAUCCCCAGGAAAGCCCCACGAGAUGUGGCAGGGGUGGAUACGAAAUAUGAACCGAAUCCAUUUGCAGGUUUGAUUUGCAGCCUGAGCACGGCCCCGACUGUUCCACCUCUCACACCGAGGGACAAACCAAGCUACAAGCACACGAAACGCCACGAGUGAAAACCCCCAAGACGUGUUUCCCUCUUUGCAGUGCCAACCGUUCCUCCUUACGCGGCGUUUGGACACACCCACAGUGCCCCACCGAACAGCCAGAAAGAAGGCGGAAGGUUCAGACCCCACCCCGAGUAUGGUCCCCUCCACCUGGUGAAGCCCAGCGGGGCUUUCCAGUGCUGCAGGCAGGAAUGCACCCCCUGACUGCUGUCCUGUGAGCAUACAGUCAGCAAGAAGGCUCAGGGAUGGAGCUGAGCAAGCAGAGUUGGCCAAAGGGGAGAGAGCCACUCCUACUGCUGUUAGCACUGAUUUUCUUGUUAUAGCAGCACAAAUAACAGUGACAAAAAUGAUCAUUACUGUGUUGUAGGCAUUUUUUUCUCACCGCAAUACUGUUUCCCUUCUAAGACAUGUAAUGAUCCCCCCCACAGCAGCUGCAGACCCGAUUGCUGCAAUGUGGACAUUGCUCAGGUGCAGCCUACCUG